AUUGAACGCUGGCGGCAGGCCUAACACAUGCAAGUCGAACGGUAGCACAGAGGAGCUUGCUCCUUGGGUGACGAGUGGCGGACGGGUGAGUAAUGUCUGGGAAACUGCCCGAUGGAGGGGGAUAACUACUGGAAACGGUAGCUAAUACCGCAUAACGUCUUCGGACCAAAGUGGGGGACCUUCGGGCCUCACACCAUCGGAUGUGCCCAGAUGGGAUUAGCUAGUAGGUGGGGUAAUGGCUCACCUAGGCGACGAUCCCUAGCUGGUCUGAGAGGAUGACCAGCCACACUGGAACUGAGACACGGUCCAGACUCCUACGGGAGGCAGCAGUGGGGAAUAUUGCACAAUGGGCGCAAGCCUGAUGCAGCCAUGCCGCGUGUAUGAAGAAGGCCUUCGGGUUGUAAAGUACUUUCAGCGAGGAGGAAGGCGGUAAGGUUAAUAACCUUAUCGAUUGACGUUACUCGCAGAAGAAGCACCGGCUAACUCCGUGCCAGCCGCCGCGGUAA
rnacentral:rRNA from 1 species